rnacentral:lncRNA from 1 species
AAGAUAUUUUCCAAAGAUGCCUCCUUCAGACGCUCUCAUCUUCUCUCAUCUCUCAAAUCUAACCCUAGACUCCGUCAAUUGCCUUAUUCUCUAGCCAUCUCCGGCCACCUCUUUUCAACCCCAAGUUUCUAAUGGGUCUCUCAUCGCGUUGCUCAACAUCUCUAAGGUCCUCAAGGGUCCUGGACCAUGUCGAUUUGGACCUAUGGUUUCCGAUUAUGUUGUUCGAGGCUUCUCUGAUGUGAUUUUGGGCAAAUCCACACCAUAUAUGUUACGAUUUGUGAAGUUACAAUAGGUUCUUUUGAUUUCUCUUUGGGUUUUCUUUUGAAACCCUAACUCUUUCCUAUAUCUAUCAGAACAAUGUUAUUCUCAUGCUUUAAGCAUGUUUUCUUAUAUGAUCUGCUUAUUCUCGAGCUUCUUCUGAAAAAUCACCUACUUUGAACCCUUUUUACUUUCUUUGAAAAACUAGGGUUUCUCAGAGUUCUUUUACGC